rnacentral:lncRNA from 1 species
GAAGAAGAGGUCAUCAAUAGAAAGAAUAAGGAAAGAGGAUUCCAACGGCGCAAAUUAGAGCUUGAACAAAAUCAGGUGUUAUCAUUUCUUUUUCCUUCCACUAUGAGUUAUUUCUUGCAUUUAAUAUAUUAAAAAAAAAUUUUGAAAUAAAUUAAUGUAGAAAAGAAAUAAGAGUAAGUUAGAAAGUAUUUGCUAAUAAAUGUAGUGAGUCACAGAGAAGAUUAGCUGGUUAGACUCUUGGUGGCAUAGAUCAUUUAAAGACUAUUAGCACUUCCAAUUGCACAUGCACACUAACAAGGUAAAGUAGGN